rnacentral:rRNA from 1 species
AACGAACGCUGGCGGCAUGCCUAACACAUGCAAGUCGAACGAGACCUCCGGGUCUUGUCGCGCAUGGGUGUGUAACGCGUGGGAACCUGCCCUUAGGUUCGGAAUAACUCCCCGAAAGGGGUGCUAAUACCGGAUAAUGUCUUCUGACCAAGGAUUUAUCGCCUUUGGUUGGGCCCUCGUUGGAUUAGCUAGUUGUUAGGGUAAAAGCCUACCACGGCGACAAUCCAUAGCUGGUCUGAGAGGAUGAUCAGCCACACUGGGACUGAGACACGGCCGGGACUCUUACGGGAGGGGGGAGUGGGGAAUAUUGGAAAGUGGGGGGAAGGAUGAACGAGCAAGGCCGGGUGAGUGAUGAAGGCAGUAGGGUUGUAAAGCUCAUUUACCCGGGAUGAUAAUGACAGUACCGGGAGAAAAAGCUCCGGCUAACUCCGUG